CCUUUAAAUCCCCACCAGAGUCUGCCGAGCGCUGAAAGCGAAGCCGCUUGUCAUGAUUCUAACGUUAAUACACUAUGUGCUCUUCAGAACUGGAUGUACAUCUAUGAAACAUGCAAAUAUCACACAGUUGUAAAUAAAGCCUGAUUUCACGCCACAAGGGCUGUACCCAUUUGAAGUACAGCUGCAGAUUCAGGGUACCACCUGGUUGCUUGUGCUUCUGCGAUACCGUAUCUGAGUACGUAAGGACAUACUCUUUUAACAUUUGCACGACUACUAAAAGAAUCCGUUCCUGGAUCAGAAAGAUAAAAAGCUUGUUCUUAUUUAAAUCUGGCUUCCUGCAGAACUUGUUUGAGGCUUUUCUGCCUGGAUUGCAUCUACAGAAACCUUUCCAAAUCAACUUAACGUAAUUUAUUCCCAGUGUUUCUGUUGCCAGGAGUUGAGAUUUUAAAAACAACUAGCUUUUAUGAAAAAUUUUAAUUAUUUCUUUAUACAAUAUCUAUAUAUUUUUAAAUCUUCCUACGGAAGUUCUACAGACAUGAUAUAAGGAAGUAUAUUUCUACAAAUGUUACUUUUAAAUCAAAGCUUGCUUUCUGCGUGGGAACUAUGUUUCAUGUGCUCUCUCUGGUCAUACUUCUUAUUCUCAUAAGGUGCUAAAUGACAGAAAAUGGUUAUUUAAAUUCAAUAUGGCUGCAAACUAUUUUGUGUAAAUUCUAUAGCUGUAGUUGUAGCAUAGUUCUUUGGCAAGCCUCAAAUAGUAAAUCAUUUGUCAGUCUUUUAUGAACCUUGCAUCUCAAGAUUUGCCAGCCUUUCUUCUUUGUAGUUUUUGAACUGUAUUUAUAGAUUCUGCUUUUUGUUUUUAAGCUGGCAGAUGGCCAGUUAUUUAUCUGCCUUCAUAUGUAUUGUGUACGAGGGAAACGGAACAUUUUGUAUGCUAAUAUCGUGCAUGGUGCAUACUUGGGGCAAAAGACUGCUUGUAAGCAGAAUCCAUUAUGUGACGAGUCGGUAGCUCCUAGUCCGUUCUCGGUCAGCGAACAAAGCCCCUUUGACAUUGCUCUAUAUUAAAAGUUAUGAAAUAACACAAGCUUAAUGAACAAUCAAGGCACAAUGCUGCUACUAUGAAGCGAGCUGUAUUGUCCGUUUCCCCUUCUUUCUCUUCAGAGUUCAAAAAUUUGAAGCCCUCUUCAUACGUUUGUCACUGUUAGUCAUGUUGAAAUUUAUUCCUCUGAAUUUCUGAUGCCGCUUGCUUUGCUGUUCUUUUGCUGUGCUGGUAGAAAAAGGUAAAAGCACAUUGACUUUUGGGGCAGCUGAACUCACUGGUGGUAACAGAAACUUUGGUUUCCUUCCUUUUUCUGGCUCUCUUCCUGUCGCCUUUGUCAGGUUUCCUUUUCCAUCACCUCUCUGCCCCGGCCGGUUCCUUACAUUUACUUUCCUUUGCCAGGGCACACGGCCGUCAGGUCGCACCCAGGGUGUUGCGGAGCUGCUGGAGCCCUGAGGAUGCCUGCUGGAGGAGGAUGAGCAGCGCUUCUGCCCCCAGCGAAGGCAGCGCCUUGCUGCACGGUGCUCUGUUUGCACCUUGUGCCACACACGGGUUGGGCAGGACCCUUCACCAGGCAGCAAAUUCUGACCUACACAUACAAAUCCCAAAGGCGUAUUUGCAAUAUAUUAAAAUCAGGUUAAUUGGGGCAUGCAAACGUAGGAGUCUUUAAAACAGUGGGAGAAAGAGGAGCAGAAGCUUUUAGAAGACAUCUUCAGUCGUACUGAAGUAUGAAACAGCAAAGGCCCUUUGGUUAACUAUAAAUCUGGAAACAAAUUUAAAAAUAUGCUUGUUGCUCUGUUGAAACACAACAAAAUUAAUGUGCCGUUAAUACCAUCUUGGUACUGGUUGUCCAGCUGUCACGGUUCAUAAUACCCUGGCAGCUGAUGGUUUUAUACAAAUUCAGGCUCUAAAAAACUGCACCUGUUUGUUUUUGCCACUCUUGCUGCAAAAAAAAAAGGGCCUGAUGUCUUCAGCUAGUCCUCUCGGGUAAAUCUUUCUGCCUUUUCCAGUUUCUCUUGCAGUCAGGGUUGUUUUUCUCUGUUGUGAAUUGCUUAGCGGGACUGCUGGACACUUAAAUCCUGCACUCACUUCUGUUUGAGAUGGCUCCCCCGUUAUGAUAGGUAAACUCAUUUCUGAACACAACCUAUAAAAUGUUUUACAUUUGUGCAAUAUUUCAAGAUUACAGAUAAUAAUUAAAAACUUUGAUAAAACUGCCACAUUUGAAGCCUAUAGCUGUUUUGAGUCAGAUGUCUUAGCCUAUUUAUUUACACAAUAUGACUAAGCUUACCUAGAAAUCCGAAAUUCAAGGCUGGCAUUGAUGAAAGGCUCUAUUGGCAGUCUCUGUCCUUUGCCAGCAAAUUGACAUAGUAUAGUACAAACCUUGGGAAUUUGCUUGGAAACAUAUGAGCUUUGCAUCUCUUGUCCCUUGUGAAGAUGACGUGGAUUUUUAUGAGCGUAAAUGUUAAAGAUCUGGGGGUCCAUCUCUUUUCCAAAAUACGGCAACCAGUGGCAGUACCCCUUCCAGCACCUUUUCAGGCCUUCUGGAAAGUUUCCAAGUGGAAGACUCCCACCUCCUUAAUCAUGAAAAAAGCCUGCCUCUCCUCUGAAUGUCAUUCAUUCAAGUGUACUGACCUGCCCUGACCUUGUUUAGAUUGAGAUCUAAUGAGCCCACGGUCCAAGGUGGUGUGGGAGCUCACAGCAGGCUUUGCAAAUAAGCAAGUGUUGUGUUUUUCUGUAUGCAUGUGUUUUAAAUUUAUCACGUCAAUAAACAAGUGUAUCACACGCUCGAGUACGGACUUUACGGCGUUGUAGUUAAGAAUAAAUUGUGCCACUACAAAUUGUGAUGUCACAUUAUAAAUAUAAAAGGAGACAAUGUGGAAUAUUUAUGACCUCAAAACAAUGAAGUCCCCUGUUGAUUUGUGCUUUUUUUUAAAAAAAAAUAAAUAAUGAGGUAAUGCUAAAACUCUGAAUCUGAACGGCUCACAAACUUUGGGCUCAUCUCUCAGAAAAACAGUCACGCUAAUGGUACAGGGAAAGAAAGAUUAAAAAAUAAUGCUGUUGAUUCCGAGGAGAGAUGCAUCAGUAGAAUAUCAUAACAGGGGUCAUUUGAGUUAAAAUAAAUAUAGCUAGGCUUCAAAUUUCAUUAAAAGGUUUGGCUUUAUUUUGAGUCCCAGAAUCUGGGGAAGGUUGGUUGGUUUCUGUUGUGUUUUGUGAUUUCUUUUUUUACAUUAUGAUAAAGUGAACCUCAGCUUCAGUGGAGAAUCUGCACCAAAUGCACACAUUUUAUGAAACAGAUAAAACUUGAGGCUUUCAAAUUAAAAAAAAAAACAAAAAAAAACAAAAAAAACAGUCGAGGGCGGAUUGUAGUACCUACUGCUGGCCUAAAUCGUGUUGACACGAAUGGAUAAAAACGUAGCUGGAAUGAGAGAGGUCGUCUGCAAUGCAAGCGUUCGCAGGCUGUAUGAGUCCCAAACAGAAGCCUACUGAACCAUAUUUUCGUUGGGCCGAAUUACGGUCUGUGCUAUCAGAAGGGUACCUUAAGCUAUAAAUCCCGACUCUUUCAACCCUGGAAUAGCUCCAGCCCCAAAGGGAGAACAAUGCUGGUGUUUCAGAUGGCCUACAGUGCAGAAAUUGUUCUGCUGGAAACAAACGUUGUUAGGGCUUGGUAUUUAUGUUGGGACCCACUUAUAGGGAGGGAGCGACUUGUUUUGUUUUUAAUGGAGUGGUCGGGAGAGGGAUAAAAAGCUUUUUGAUAAUGUAAGGAAUGCGUGGGGGAAGGGAAGGUACAGAGAUACGCAUUUACUGUAAGUAUGAAGGAGCAGAGGCCUCUUUAUCAGAGCUGCUCUAAUGAUGUGCCACAGUCACUUUAUUUGAAAGCUUCAUGGCUCACAGAAAAGUAAACAAAUUCAUUACAUUAUUUUUAAAAGAAGAUUAAGUGUAGUGUGUCGUCUGUUGGACAGCUGCUCUAGUAAUCUUUUACAAACACUUUAUAAAUGACCACCCUCGGUGUUUUUCUGGGCUUUGUGUGGCUGGAUUGUUAUUUUAGUAAGUACCAGGACAGUUUUUCCAAUGAAAACGGUGUUUCCUGUAAAACAAUUACAUACCUACCUUCUCCCUAAAUAUUAUUUCUUCUUAGCAUGAGGUAUAAAUGUCUGCUAUACAAACGCAUCGUCUGUUGAGAUUUUUUGGGUGGAUGCUGGCUUUCCAUAAUAAUAAAUAAAAAGCAUUUUAAACAA